UUGCGGGCGCGUUAGGGAUGGUAGCGGCAUCCUUUUGUGGCGGGGUUCGCCACAAAAGAUAUAGCGCACAGCCCGACCCUUG
rnacentral:ncRNA from 1 species